AUUCAUUUAAAGAGUGCGUAACAGCUCACUAGUCGAGCGUUCUUGCGCGGAAAAUAAUCGGGCAUCAAGAUAUCUACCGAAGCUUUGGAUUCAUAGUAAUAUGAGUGGUAGGGGAGCAUUCUAGAGCGUUGAAGCCGUACUGUGAGGUAUGGUGGAGCGAAGAGAAAAGCAAAUGUAGGCAUGAGUAACGAUAAUUAAGAUGAGAAAUCUUAACGCCGUAAGACUAAGGGUUCCUAGAUCUAUGUUAAUCAGAUCAGGGUUAGUCGGGUCCUAAGGUGUACCCAAGAGGGGAAGCUGAUGGCAAGCCGGUUAAUAUUCCGGCACCUGUAUAUACUGCGAUGGGGGGACGAAGGAGCGUAAGGCUGGCCACGAGACGGAAUACGUGGUUGAAGUGCGUAGAUGUUGAUUCGGUAGGCAAAUCCGCCGGAGAGUUGAAACACGAUAGUAUUCUGAUGACUUCGGUCAUUGGGAAUAAAGCCCCAAGCAAGCUUCCGAGAAAAGCCUCUAAGCUUCAGGUAUAUAGAGCCCGUACCGCAAACCGACACAGGUGGUCGAGGAGAGUAUCCUAAGGCGCUCGAGUGAUCCGUGGCUAAGGAACUAGGCAAAAUAGUCUCGUAACUUCGGGAGAAGAGACGCCCCGCGUGAGCGGGGCCGCAGUGAAGAGGCCCAGGCGACUGUUUAGCAAAAACACAGGACUCUGCAAAUUCGAAAGAAGAAGUAUAGGGUCUGACACCUGCCCGGUGCUGGAAGGUUAAGAGAGGGGGUUAGCGCAAGCGAAGCUCUUAAUUGAAGCCCCAGUAAACGGCGGCCGUAACUAUAACGGUCCUAAGGUAGCGAAAUUCCUUGUCGGGUAAGUUCCGACCUGCACGAAUGGUGUAACGAUCUGGGCACUGUCUCAGCCACGAGCUCGGUGAAAUUGAAGUAUCGGUGAAGAUGCCGAUUACCCGCAAUGGGACGAAAAGACCCCGUGAACCUUUACUAUAACUUCACAUUGGGCUUGAAUAUAAGAUGUGUAGGAUAGGUGGGAGACUGCGAAGUUGUCACGCUAGUGGUGAUGGAGUCGGCGUUGAAAUACCACCCUUUUUAUAUUUAGGUCCUAAUCCCUGGAAAGAGGGAGACAGUGUGUGGCGGGUAGUUUGACUGGGGUGGUCGCCUCCGAAAGAGUAACGGAGGCUUGCAAAGGUACCCUCAGUGCCGUUGGUAACGGUACGCAGAGCAUAUUAGUAGAAGGGUGCUUGACUGAGAGACUGACGGGUCGAUCAGGGUCGAAAGACGGCUAAAGUGAUCCGGUGUUUCCGCAUGGAAGGGACAUCGCUCAAAGGAUAAAAGGUACUCCGGGGAUAACAGGCUGAUCUCCCCCAAGAGCUCAUAUCGACGGGGAGGUUUGGCACCUCGAUGUCGGCUCGUCACAUCCUGGGGCUGGAGAAGGUCCCAAGGGUUGGGCUGUUCGCCCAUUAAAGUGGCACGUGAGCUGGGUUCAGAACGUCGCAAGACAGUUCGGUCUCUAUCUAUUGUGGGCGUUGGAAUAUUGAGGAGUCCUGACACUAGUACGAGAGGACCGUGUUGGACGAACCGCUAGUGUACCUGUUGUGGCGCCAGCUGCAGUGCAGGGUAGCUAUGUUCGGACUGGAUAAGCACUGAAAGCAUCUAAGUGCGAAGCCAUCUCCAAGAUGAGUAUUCCUUGAAGGGUCGUAGAAGAUGACUACGUUGAUAGGCUACAGGUGGAAGUGCAGUAAUGUAUGGAGCUGAGUAGUACUAAUUACCCGAAAGCUUCCUUU
rnacentral:rRNA from 1 species